rnacentral:pre_miRNA from 10 species
GUAGGUGCUCUCCAGGAGGCCUGAAUGCGGGGGAGCUAAGCCAAACCCCAGGAGAACUGUGGAAGUGGUAACACU